UACGGAAGGUCCGGGCGUUAUCCGGAUUUAUUGGGUUUAAAGGGAGCGUAGGCCGGAGAUUAAGCGUGUUGUGAAAUGUAGACGCUCAACGUCUGCACUGCAGCGCGAACUGGUUUCCUUGAGUACGCACAAAGUGGGCGGAAUUCGUGGUGUAGCGGUGAAAUGCUUAGAUAUCACGAAGAACUCCGAUUGCGAAGGCUGCUCACUGGAGCGCAACUGACGCUGAAGCUCGAAAGUGCGGGUAUCGAACAGG
rnacentral:rRNA from 1 species